rnacentral:rRNA from 1 species
UACGAAGGGGGCUAGCGUUGCUCGGAAUCACUGGGCGUAAAGGGCGCGUAGGCGGUUCGCUAAGUUGAAUGUGAAAACUCUGGGCUUAACCCAGAGCCUGCAUUCAAUACUGGCGGGCUAGAGUUCUGGAGGGGAUAGCGGAAUUCCUGGUGUAGCGGUGAAAUGCGUAGAUAUCAGGAGGAACACCGGUGGCGAAGGCGGCUAUCUGGACAGAGUCUGACGCUGAGGCGCGAAAGCUAGGGGAGCAAACAGG